CCAGCUCUGGAGAGAUUUCCCCCUAGAGAAGAGGCGUGAAGGCAAGAAUAUGGAAGAAAUGAAAUUUUGGCUCUACAACUGGUUACCGUCACAUAAGGAUUCA
rnacentral:lncRNA from 1 species